rnacentral:rRNA from 1 species
UACGUAGGGUGCGAGCGUUAAUCGGAAUUACUGGGCGUAAAGCGUGCGCAGGCGGUUCGUUAAGUCAGAUGUGAAAGCCCCGGGCUCAACCUGGGAACUGCAUUUGAAACUGGCGGGCUUGAGUGUGGCAGAGGGGGUGGAAUUCCGCGUGUAGGCAGUGAAAUGCGCAGAUAUCAGGAGGAACACCAAUGGCGAAGGCAGCUCGCUGGAACGGAACUGACGCUGAGGCGCGAAAGCGUGGGAGCAACAGG